GGGUCAGUAGGUUGGUCGUGCCACCGGUACGUACUGGUCUCACUGAUUCCUCCUUCCUGAAGAACCGUAAUGCCAUUAAUUUGGUGUUGCGGGGAAACAGGACUGUUACUUUGAAAAAAUUAGAGUGUUUAAAGCAAGCUAACGCUCGAAUACAUUAGCAUGGAAUAAUGAAUUAGGACGAUCGAUCCUAUUUUGUUGGUUUCUAGGAUUGACGUA
rnacentral:rRNA from 1 species